rnacentral:rRNA from 1 species
GACGAACGCUGGCGGCGUACCUAAUACAUGCAAGUUGAGCGCUGAAGGUUGGUACUUGUACCAACUGGAUGAGCAGCGAACGGGUGAGUAACGCGUGGGGAAUCUGCCUUUGAGCGGGGGACAACAUUUGGAAACGAAUGCUAAUACCGCAUAAAAACUUUAAACACAAGUUUUAAGUUUGAAAGAUGCAAUUGCAUCACUCAAAGAUGAUCCCGGGUUGUAUUAGCUAGUUGGUGAGGUAAAGGCUCACCAAGGCGAUGAUACAUAGCCGACCUGAGAGGGUGAUCGGCCACAUUGGGACUGAGACACGGCCCAAACUCCUACGGGAGGCAGCAGUAGGGAAUCUUCGGCAAUGGACGAAAGUCUGACCGAGCAACGCCGCGUGAGUGAGGAAGGUUUUCGGAUCGUAAAACUCUGUUGGUAGAGAAGAACGUUGGUGAGAGUGGAAAGCUCAUCAAGUGACGGUAACUACCCAGAAAGGGACGGCUAACUACGUGCCAGCCGCCGCGGUAA